GAUUAAUGCUGGCGGCGUGCCUAACACAUGCAAGUCGAACGGUAACAGGAAGCAGCUUGCUGCUUCGCUGAGGAGUGGCGGACGGGUGAGUAAUGUCUGGGAAACUGCCUGAUGGAGGGGGAUAACUACUGGAAACGGUAGCUAAUACCGCAUAAUGUCGCAAGACCAAAGAGGGGGACCUUCGGGCCUCUUGCCAUCGGAUGUGCCCAGAUGGGAUUAGCUUGUUGGUGGGGUAACGGCUCACCAAGGCGACGAUCCCUAGCUGGUCUGAGAGGAUGACCAGCCACCCUGGAACUGAGACACGGUCCAGACUCCUACGGGAGGCAGCAGUGGGGAAUAUUGCACAAUGGGCGCAAGCCUGAUGCAGCCAUGCCGCGUGUAUGAAGAAGGCCUUCGGGUUGUAAAGUACUUUCAGCGGGGAGGAAGGGAGUAAAAUUAAUACCUUUGCUCAUUGACGUUACCCGCAGAAGAAGCACCGGCUAACUCCGUGCCAGCCGCCGCUGUAA
rnacentral:rRNA from 1 species